AGGGCACCACCAGGAGUGGAGCCUGCGGCUUAAUUUGACUCAACACGGGGAAACUCACCCGGCCCGGACACCGGAAGGAUUGACAGAUUGAUAGCUCUUUCUUGAUUCGGUGGAUGGUGGUGCAUGGCCGUUCUUAGUUGGUGGAGCGAUCUGUCUGGUUAAUUCCGAUAACGAACGAGACUCUAGCCUACUAAAUAGACCUCGGCAUUCUUUGUACUGUCGAGGCGCUUCUUAGAGGGACAGGCGGCGUUUCAGCCGCAUGAGAAAGAGCAAUAACAGGUCUGUGAUGCCCUUAGAUGUCCGGGGCCGCACGCGCGCUACACUGAAGAGAUCAGCGUGCAUGUGCUUCCUACUCCGAAAGGAGCGGGAAACCGAGUGAACCUUUUUCGUGCUUGGGAUUGGGGAUUGUAAUUAUUCUCCAUGAACGAGGAAUUCCCAGUAAGCACAAGUCAUCAGCUUGUGUUGAUUACGUCCCUGCCCUUUGUACACACCGCCCGUCGCUACUACCGAUUGGAUGUU
rnacentral:rRNA from 1 species